UCCCUCUCCCCUGCCUUCAUCAAAAUCUUCACCUGCUACGUGUUCGUGGAGCAUCUCUCCCCGCUGUUUUCAUCAAAUUUUCUGUCAAACCCCUUCCCUACAUCGCAAUCUUUCCCCUCUGCUUCGUGUUCAUUUGUGCUUUGUGCCUUCCCCUGCUUGGGCUGAGCGUCGAGGUCGAUGCGGCAAGGUCCAUGCGGCAAGGUCGAGGCAGCGAGGACUCUGUUGAGGCGAUUUUUAUCACUCCCGUCUCCAACCCCUCAAACUCAAAUCCUCUUUGGUCUUGCACGCUGGUGGAAAAUUUGGUGGUGCCAACAGUGGGUACUCUGUCUCAGGAGGAAAUGAAAGCUUAGAGAGAAAGGGUACUUGUUUUCUAGGGCACUUUUGUGGUCAUCACAUGCAUGUCUGCUUUUCUUCUUCACUGUUCCUUUGAAGUCCCCUUAUAAUCAACAAAAACAAGUUGGUGGAACUGACCAAGUCGGAAAAAAGGUUAGUAAAUGGUUAAAGGGUUAGUAAACUAAACAAGUUCAGCAAAAACAAUGUUAGUAAAGUUAGUAACUAACUGAAACAACUCAACAAACAUAUGUAAAAAAAAUUAGUAAUGUUAGCACUGACAAAAUCACCCAAAAAGUCAGCAAAAAAAAAUAGUAUAGCUAGUUAGUAAAACUGAAUUGCUUCAGCAAAUCAAAGCUAGUGACUCAAGCAAAGAAAGGAAGAAACUAGAGCUACAAAUCUGCUAUUAACGUUAGCAUGAGUAAACUGGUGCGGAAACUGCAGUGAUUAAAUCCUGUCAGCACAUACCAACAAAAACAACGUUAGAAGCAAUUAAAAAAGAAUGUUAGUAAUGUUAGUAAGCUGAGAUAACUCAGUAAAAACUGUCAAACACAACAAAGUUAGCACAAAAAUUAGUAAACUGAUACUAGCACAAACUUGAGAACCAAAUUUGAGAACUUGAAAACAGUAAUUGAACUCAACUUCGCAAAAAGAAAUAAAAUUUGAACCUACAACUAGCUAUGGCUAAACAUAGAAGAUUAGUUAGAAACAUUAGUUAGUAAAUUGUAUCAGCAAAAUAGAAAACAAAGCCCGAACAAGGUUAGAAGAGUUAGUGCAAAAGUUAGUAAAAGCAGCAAAAAUUGUUAGUUAGUAGAAGAUGGUGAAGUAUUCGUUUGGGAGGGAGAGAGGUUCGCUUACGUUAAGCUGUGAUGUGUGGAGAAUGGAUUUUGGUGGUUUUGCAUGGAGGUUGGACGUUAAAACUGCUUUGAGAUUGGGUUACUGAUUCCAGAUAUCAUACAAAGACAUCGCUUUUAAUCCCAAUCGAACACUUUUCGUUGAAGUGCUCAGAACUGUGAAUAUAUGAAUCUAUAUAUAUAACUCCUGAGGCCAGCUUGCAUGACUGUAAAUUGAUGCAUGUAUCUCGUCCUUUUGUUCCUUAGACGAUUUCCCAGUUUGAGUUUGAGCUUUAAUCACUAUCUUGCAACAUACCCUUCUGCCAAGUAAAAGUAUUAUGUUGCUUCCAUCUCUUUAUUUCAUGGAUUGAAUUUUGUUGUUUGAGAUGGUGCUAGGUAAGGUGGGAAAAAAAUGGCGAAAAAUGUGUUCUGGGGGAGAUGGUCGCAACCCUAAUCAAUGUCACUUGAGAUACCAUUAACCUAUGUAACUCUGGCGUCUGCUGAUUGCAGCACGUUGUUGAGUCCAAGCCAAACGUGUAAAAUUUUACUUUUCCAGCAUCUCAUUUGGAUUUUACUCUUUCUCUUUCAAAAUCAAGAAUUAAUUUAAAUACACUUUAUAAGGCA